GAGCGGUGGGAGCGGCUGCCCGCCCUCGCUGCACCGGCCUCGGGCGAGGAGCGGGACGGUGUCCGGGUGGGCGCGGACGCGGAACCGGGCCACUCCGACCCGCCCGCCGCCCUGAAAAGUCCGGGCAACUUCGGAGCUGGGGGCGAGGGCGUCCUGCAGGUCUGGCAGCAGAUGGCGGGGCAAGAGAGCCUGUGCCCUGCACAGCCGUGCCCCGCAGCCCAGUUGGGAACAGCUGCAGCUGGCAGCAAUGCGGGGAAGGGAAAACGAAAUGUAUUAUCCGAAAUGAGCCUUUGCAUCUCCGGCUACAAACACAGCGCUGAUUAGAGCUACUCCGCUGUUAGUCGUGAGCUCCCAGAAGUGAAUGUGGAUUGAUUAAAAAUAAUGCUCUCCAGAUCUGUGUUUCCACAUCUUCAUAACAAGAAUAAGACUUUCCCAACAGUCUGAGCAUGGAUGGUCAACGAAAUGGUCAGCAGAAGUAUUUGAGUGCCUCAGAGAGAAAGAGAUGGUGACACGUACUGUAUUUCCAUUUUCGUGAUCUUCUUGCUGCUUCUAACAUAGGAGCUGAAAAUUGUCAGUGGAAGACUAUUUCUGAACUUGAUCAACCAAAUGGUUAAGAUCCUAUCCUGACAUUCAAGGAGGUGGUCCUGUUACCUGCUCAUAGGCAGCAAGAUGUGGAUGUUUCUCUUCUAGCAAGCAAAAAUCUGUCCUUCACUUCCAUGGAGCUGAAUGAACAAAGAUCUGUCCACUUCCUGUUUCAGUCGUCUCACCAAACAUUUGGUUCACCAGGUGACUUCUCCUACAGAAGUACCCCCACACUUUUAUCAAAACUCAAAAGCAGAAUAACAGAAAUCAGCAUUUGGUUUCCUGAAGAAAUGUCUUCUGUACCAGCUCUUCAUCCAGCUUUCUGCAUUCUGUUUUAAGAUGAGAAAUGCUUUGUAAUCAGAUGCAAGUGGAAGCUGGUGUUCUUCACUGAUAUCUCCUUCUUCAUUUUAGGAAGGUUAUGUACUUUGCUGUGUCAUAUUGAAUUUCCUAGCAGAUAAAGUGUCUGCAUGCAUUACUGCGUCAGACUUGACAUAUAUGAGAAGUUGCCGCAGGAAACAAUUGCUCUGACGUGAGGGGGAAACUUACCAAACAACUGGGGACAUGCCAUGCAGGUAUUUUCUAGUCCAGGACCCAGGCUCGACUUUGUAGAUAGAUGUCAAAUCACAUAAAGCAGCUAAUGCACAAGAACAAAUGCAGAAUCACCUUGUCUGUAGUGUGUAAAUGCAUUAUCCCAGUCUGUGAUCAAAAUGUAUAUUUGCAUGUGUAAAUCUGUGUAAGUGCUGGAUAUGAAGAGGUUUCACCAGAAAGAGAAAUCACUCUGCUCCAUUUAAUUUUUAGCAAAGAAAAAUGAAGCUUUAAAGCCUUGAGUGUAACAGGAUAAUGAUUAGCUUUACGUUAAAUCAUUCCCUCCCUCUGGCUUUUUGUGAAUCCUUAGCAGCAAAAGGAACAAAACCAUUCUACAGUAGAAGAGAUGGGGCAGAACAUGUUUCUUUAUUAUAGAAAUUAACUUCAGGUGGGAUGAAGGAGACCAUAAGUGUAAAGUUGUGGUUUAUCCACCUGGCUUCCUUGACACAGUUUCAGCUUUUCAUACUGCUGAUGGAGUCAGCUUUCUGAUUCUUUCGUGACUGAGAACUGAGAGGACCUGUAUGUUUUCAUUAACUAGGCAGAAAUAGGCUGAAGAGAAUGGAAUGUUAGCCAUGUAAGAGGGGUAAGUCGAGGUACAGCAGAAAUACUUAGGACAGGCCUUUUUCUGGCUCUUCUUGUUCCUUCCCAAACUAAGGCACAAUCUGUUGUUCUUAUGUUUACACGAGAUUCUUUGUCUACAUCAUUUGUGCUUAUAUAGGAUGUUUUCUGUCAUUCUGAGAUGGGAGCAUAUAUUGUUUACGUGCUCCCUGCUAUGGUAUUGUUUAUGGCAAGUAAGAUUUCUUGGCAAAAAAACACCAGACCUGGGAUGUGUAUUGUAUUCCACUUCAAAUCUGAAGCUUUUCUUAGUGCACCUUAUUCCAAGCUUGUGAUUUAGAAAAUGUGACUUACUAGCUUAAAAUAAUGUUUUCAAAUCUGGAUCAAAUAAGGGUUAUAUAGCUUCUGUUAAUAUGUUUUGGGAGAUACUAAAAUGGUUGGGGAGAUGUUUUAGAUUUCUUGUUUUUUUCUGUUUUGCCUUUUAGAAAACUGCUGAAGAGAGCCAAACAGCCUGAAAAUGGCUGAAAAAGCAAACAAUUGAAAUCCUUCUUAAAUCUUAAUAAUAGCUUGCAAGGGCAGCAUUCUAAUAUUUAAAAUGUGGUGAUAUUUUAUGGGACCAAGUCCCAUAGCAGAGUGAGGACAAGUGUUGAUGUUGAUCCUAAUCUUCAGAGUAAUGUCUGUGUUUAGACUUGCUUUGUAACAAUAAGAUUAAGUGACAGCUUUACCCAUUUUUUGUUUCCGUGAAGAAAAGAGCAGACAUGUUAGCAAAGGGUGGGGGGCAAGACACUAUGUCUCAAAAUAAUGCCAACUGUAAUGAGCAGAGAGGUGCACUAAAAUUGUGUGUAACAUUGUGGUGAGCUCUGUGAUAAGAGUUAACAUUGAUCUUGAUGAGGCAACCAUCAGCUUGGCCUGACUUCUUUUAAGAGCAUAGGAUUUCUUUGCUGAAUAUGGUCUGAAUUUUCUGGCAUUGGAGGAAACUAGAAAGCACACUUCCUUUUAGGACAUCCUUAUGUUGAAGCCAAUAGGAUUUAAUGUAGAUGUCUGUAGAAGCAGGAUCCAUCUCUAAGUGAUGGAAAAUACUGUCAAUAUCAUAGGAUUAUAAGUGGUUGGGAAGUAUGUGGUAUAAGAAAUGUCUCGGUUUAGAUCUGGGAAUUUUCUUCCUUCUGCCCAUACUUUACCCUUCUGAUGUUAGAGCUAGCAGUUGUUUCUUGCAUAGCUUGAUGACAAAAUACUUGGGGAACAGGAAGGUAUUUUUGUUUUCUGUGGACAUGUACAGAAAUUGUGAAUUUGUCUGCCUACAGAGUAGACACUUCAAGCUCUUUAGUUACUUUUUUUUUAGGAAUAACCCUCAAUAUUUUGUAACCCACAUUGUAACAAAAAAAAAAACAAAAACGAAUUGCUGAUUUUUCCUGACUCCUAUUGAUAACAAUGUAGCAGCAUUAGUUUUCAAGUUUAAUUUUAGAACAUCAAGAUUUAUAUUUCUGUGGCUUUCACAGAAGUAAUACUCCAGUAGUGCAUGCCCAGAAGACCCUAAUUGCUGUACCUUCCUGGCCAGCACUUUUAUAAAACUGCUGUGUUAGGAAAUGCUGCUUCAGCCUACUUACUUUUUCCUGCUCCACUUUUUCUUUGUGUUUGUUGGAAAUCUUCCCAUGUGAAAGAUCACAAAAACAAGGGGCACGUGCAAUAGAUCAUAUAUAUAUAUAUACACAUAUAUAUAUUUUAAUACUUGUGGACAAAAUGAUGUUACAAGUUGUUUGAAAACAACAAAAUCACCAAUGUCUUCCAUUUUGAGAUGUGUAUAGUUCCAUAAGCAUUAGUGCUUUGUAGCAAACUGUAGUGCCAUGUUAGGAUCAGUGCAUGAGCCUAGUAGUAUUUUUACAAUUUCAGAGUGACAAAUUUAUUAGUAAACAGUGAUGAUAAUGUAAUUAACACUAGAAAGGAUACAAUAGAAAUGUCACAAACGUGGUCUAAACAUGCAGUAUCCUCCCUUUGACAAUGGCAAUGCUAUCCUUAAAACUGGAAUGCAUUAACUUAAUGGGCUUCAUAGAAUCAUAGUUGACUUUUUGUUAUUUGUCUGUCUGUCCAAUUGCAGUAGUAAGCUACAGUACGCAAGCAUCCAUCUCUAUCAGUGGGAUUCUUUUCUUUUUAGUCUUUGUUGGUAUUUUCUUCCAUGUGCAGCAUUUUCAAUUUUAUUAUUAGCCAUCCCAUUAUACACACAGAAAAGUAUGAAUAUGCUAAGGAGUUUGUGUGCAUUCUGUACACAUCUCUAUUACCUUCAGAUCAUUUACAAAGUCUAUGGAUUAAUUUUUUUUCAGACUGACUAUAUGAUUAUUAUAGCUAGUUAAACAUUUUCCUCGUUAUGUGAUAAGUUAAUGGUUGCAAAAUGCAAUGUAGUAAUUACAUGUAGAAGACUUUUAUCCAUUAUUGCAGGAAUGGGGAACCUUUUUUGGCUGAAGUCCUAUUGAAUUUUACAAUAACUUUGGUGGAUCCUGCAUUUACAUACAUCUUAAUGUUAAUAAUAAGAAGAAAGAAUAUAAUAAGGUCAAAGGCUGUUGAAAAAUGAUGUUGCAGACUGUAUCUGUGCAGCAGGCUAUCUCUAGCCAGUGGAUCAGAGAUUCCCCACCCCUGUAUUAUUGAGAAUUCACUAUCCUGUAUUUUAGGUAACUUCCAGUUUUGCUUUCCAGCUCUUGAGCUCAAUUUUAAUACUUUCUGUUUCUCCCUCUGCUUUUUUCAGAAGGAAAAUUUAGACUGGGGAAGUCAAAAUGACUUACCAAUCAAUGGGCAGCUUGGACUGGUCAAAUAGGGGACUGGUAUUAUUCUUGAGAUGUGCAAUGCUCUGUGGAUGGCAUCCUCUGAUUUCCUAGGAAUAAGUCUCUUGUUUGAUGCCAGUGUUGCUUUUCACCCAUUUUCUCUUUUACAAGAACAAAAUUCUCUUUCAACUUAGAGAGGAUACUGCAUCUUUUUUUCCUGAGACCUGCCUGUAAAUGGCCAUUAGGGGGAGGGAGGGAAUGGGUUCUUGGUUUUGUAAUUUUGGUAUGAUAUCUCUAAAGUAAUUUAUCAAGAAGCAUGUAACUUCUGUGCAAUGGCAGUAAUCCAUACAGAGUUGAUGUAUGUAACAGGGAAAAAAACCCCAACAAAACCAAACAGACAACCCUCUGCAUCUAAUACAUUUCCAAGAAAAUUGGACAGAUGGGCCAUUUACAGCAGAGCUCUGGGGGACCUGUGCUGAGAGUCAGGUUCAAUUCUAAAUGGAAGUAGCUGUACCAUUGAAUAAAGUAGUUAGUUUAGUGCUUGGGAGAAUCAAUUGAAAAAUACCUCUGAAACUGGAAUGCAAAAUAGCACAGUAUGUAGGGGGAAGAAUCCCUGAUGCAAACAAAGCCAUAAGAUGAUUUAAUAAGAAAAUAGGACUUUAGUAGCAAUAACUGUUUUGCAUGUGAUAGUAAAUAACUUGCAUUAGCAAGACUGUACAGUAGAGUAAGUGGGUAAUAACCAAAUAAGUUUGUGGCGCUCUGUGCUGCAGGGACUUGUGUGAAGAGUCUUCCUGAGAAGAAGGGUGAAUUCUUCUUAUGUUCCUCUCAUUGGAGGGAAUUUGGCACUUGAAUACAAAGUUAAUGAAUUUGAUAUAUAUAUAUAAAAAAAGAAAAAUUAGCUUUGUCACAUCUGAAGCACUGUCAGUGAGUGCUAGAGGAAGGGCAGACAGUUCUUUUUGAAAGGAUAGCUGAAGUUUCCCUGUAUUUUUUUUUUCUCUGAGAAGAAACUAAACCUUUCCAGAUACUGGACUGUAAAGAGAACCUCAUUCUAGAAGCUUUUAUUGUGGGAAGUCCGUUCUGUUGUUUUUUUUUUCUUGUUUAAAAAGACCAGUCUGAGAUGGUCUUUAAAUAAAUAAAAAACAAACUUAAAAAACUAGAGAGCACUUGACACUCAAAAGGUUUGUACAUCCCAGGCACAGCUGUAGAAUUCUAAAAAUGUUACUUUACAGCAAGAAAUAAUUUUAACCUUGCUAAACACUGUUUCAGACCAUAGUUGAUUUCUGUCUAUGCCUGAAGUUUUGCAGGGGCAAGUACUGUAACAGAGGCAAGCCUCUGGUAACAGAAAGGGUUAUUGAUCUACAGCUGUAGCCUGUGCACCCAGCAAAGUAUUUGCUGUCAAAGGGUUACAUAAAAGAGCCACAGGAGUUCUAAAGUGCUCCUAGUUUUCAGUCUAUAGAGACAAUAUGGCCCAGCAGAUAAUAAUGUAUUCUGAACAGAAUCAUUUCAUCAGAGGUUUAGAUCUAUCUGUCUGGAUUUCUUCUGGAAAGCUUAAGUAAUUUAGGCUGUGACUUAGAGCUGAAUGGAAGCUUGUGGUUUUGAAAGCAUGGAGGUGAAGCAGUUUGGCUCUUCAGAAAUUGAUAAUGGAACUGUGACAACUGUGAACAUUUUUAGUCUAUAGAGUAACAAGCAUGAGAAUGUCUAAAUUAAGUGUGGGCUAGUAUGUAAUAUGCAUAUGAAAAGCUAAUUGAUCUGGAAGGCUGUAAUCAGUAUAAAUUCUAGCUAUUGAAUUAUUGAUAAAAUUGGAAGCUGGCCAUAGGGGACCUUAACUUGACUGUUAUCUGAUUACAUUAGAGAAAUUAUAAAUUUAUUCUGGUCUGUGGUCAGCAAGUACAUUUACAUAAAGUGAAAUAAUGAAAACGCAGUCACGUUGGUACUUCAGAAUUAUGAACUUUUUGGUGGAACAGAAUUCUUUAAGGGUAUAUCUGUUCAGAGAAGGGGGGAGCAAAUCAAGACUGAUGUAGCCAGGCAAGCUAUCUUCAUAUUCUUCCCAGUUCAGACUUUUUAUAAUGAUCUGUAUUCUAUGGGCUACUAGACUAGAAAUUACUAUUCACAGCAAGGAAAGGAAUCCCGUUGCCUUUCAGCUCUUGUACAAUGGCAUGACUUUUCCUUCAACCUCCUUGAUUUAACGACUUCUAAACCUGAGUGGAAGUGUUAGAUGCUACUACACUUUGGUGUGGGAUAUCAAAGGCGUAGUGACUGGUACGGACAUGCCUCCUUUAGCAGUACUAAACCCAGAUGACACAAGUAUAUGCUGUUUGCAUAUCCAGUAGUCCUGCUGAAGAAGGUCCAGCCAGUACGUGUGCAGGGAACUGCACCUUCAAGGAUUGCAUCUUUUGCAACUGAGGGUAACUGUCAAAUUUAGGACAAAAAGAAAGUCUUGCAAAGACUUCUUGAUAGUGAGUGAGAAGAACUUGUACUGAGCUUGAGGUCACUGACACUUGGGUUACAUUAUCAAGAGUUGGCAGCCUGCUUUUUUGGGCAGAAAAGGGAAAAAUAUUGAAGAUAAGAACAGUUUUUGAUGGAUAACCAAUCUUAGAAAUUACUGCUUCCUGCAUCUUUAGGAAACUGUCUGGUCUUCCUCCAAAACUAAUAAUCCUGCUUGUUGUUCAGGUACAAAGCUGCAUAAUGGCAGUCCAAGUUAGAUUCCACUGGAUUUCUUUUACAGAAUGAUCCAGCAUUUUGCCCCUGCAGUACUUUGACUGGCACACAAAAGCCAACAGUUGAACCAGGGUGUCUAGUUUAACAGUGCAGAACACUAACCAUGGAUUCUGAUGUCUGUUCCCUUUUAGUCUGCUCUGCACUUUCUCCUGAGAUUUAGAAAAGGUGUCAGUGUUCACGAUGUCAGCAGAGCAUGUUUCUGUCUCUGAGCCUAUGUACCAGGUUAUAAUAUAGAUAGAUUGCCAAGACUUUACACUAUCUAAAGUUAAAGAUAAAAGGUAACUUACUGUUCAGUGUGUCCUAUGUAAAUCCUGUCUGUUUCUCUCCAUUUCCCCUCCAAAUGAGUGUGUUUGCAGGUCAGAUAUAAGGAGGCUAGUUUGUAAUGCCUUAGGCAUGAAGAACUGCAUGGAGAAAGUGAAGGAAAGCGGCACAGGCCCACAAACCAAACCUUAGAGCUAGUAUUCUAAUUAUGCAUGAAUCAAAAUGUCUAGUGUAACGUAGUUAUUACCAGUAAAUUGAGAUAUGCAUUUAUACAUAAUGAAGCAAUAGGAAUUAAUAUACCAAUAGCUUGAACUUCCUGCUUUGAUUCUCAAAUUUUGGGUUUUUUUAGAGAAUGUGCUGCCUCUGUAGAGAAAGGGGCAGAAUGUAUAGAUAGGGACAGAAGCAUGGCACCAAAACUGUAAAUCAGGAACUAGGAUCAGCAGAACUCGCCUUUAUAACCUCUUGUCUGGUUCAUAUUAGUGUCCUGAGCAUGUAAAAAGCAGGGCAUGAACUAAGCAUGUUUAGGGGCGAGAUGAGGUUUCUCACCUGCUGCAGCUGUAGCAAGGAAAAGGGUGCAGAGUUUCUUACAAGGUGCAGGGAGGAACAACUGGUGGGAAAGAAAAAAUACAAAGCCACAACACAACACAAAAAAACCCACCAACAAAAAAACUCCAACAAACCUCCAAACCAACAAACAAGCAAUGGAAACCACAGACUCAAACUGAGUGUAGUAUUUGCCAGACAGUAGGUAAUAAGCUUGGAUGCGGUGAGAGAAAUUAUUUGGAGAAGACUGAAAUUAAAUAAGCACAGUACAUAUUUUUCAGGUGUUGAAUAGCUUUUUAAUAGACAGUAUUUUCAGGUAACUCUAGCCACAUAGGCAGCUGUACUGAAGCAUACUGGUACCAGCCAGCAAUAAUGGCACCUGCAGGAAUGAACCUGAAAAUACUGGUAAUCUUGUAUAUUUUUUAAGUUCUUUAAAGAGAUUUUUAAAAACAGAAAAUGAGGUUUAAUCACUGAAGGUCUUUAUCUUCUGCAACACAGGUUGCAAUUGUCUUUUUUCUUUAUUUCUCUUAUUAAAUAAAAGGGAAUUUGGGUGCCAUCUUUCUGUAAACUCUUAGUGUGUUCUCUGUAAUAUUUCGCAAAUCUUAGUGGAUAAUGCAGUCAAUUCUGCUGGCAGUUUGAAAAUAAGAGAAUGUGUGGCAUAACCUACAUCACUAAUACUUUUCCAAGUUUAAACUUGUAAUGAAACAUGUAGAAUACUAGCUUGUUAUUGCAGAAUUCCAUACUUCUAGCUUAGCUUAAUUUUGUAAGUGGGCUUAACUUGUGCAGAACACUUCUCCAUGUACAGAGGCUCAGUCUUCUUUCUUAAAUAGAAAGAAGUGUCUUGGUGGAAGAAAUUGUAUGUCAAGUUAACUCCUAUUCAUACUUCAUAGCCAACCAUUCAUGAAGCACCGUGAUUUGGGUUUAAAACAGGGGUUGCAUUUUUCACAUGAAUACUCUUUCUAGAUGUAUAAGAAUUGCCAAACGAAGAUAGGACUAUUAUAAGAGAAGAUAACUAUUUUAUGGUAUCAGAAGUUAGACUAAAUGAAAUCCCUUGAGCCAACUUCUCAAGCAACAAGUAAAUUUGUAAGACAGAUUUAGCCCAGUGGUUAACCAUGGUCAUUCUUAAGUCUUUAGAACACUAUGCAUGGUUUUAAAUACUGUCAAUUUUUUUUUGUGAUGAGUAAGCCAUUGUAUCCUUUGUAUUUCCCUUCAGUAUAACCUGGGGAAUAAGCUACUUUAGGAUGUCGGUGAAGUUAUCCUCCUUUUGGAAAGCAUAACAGCAAAGGAGAAGUAUUGAAUAUAAAUUCAUUUAAAAUUACCUUAAAACAAGCCGAAAAUACUUAGACUGAACUUCUGAUGGCAUUCUUACAUGGAUUAGUGGAGGAAAUUAUUGGUGUAACUACGAACUGUGUACUCCCAUUGCACGUUUUACAUGGUAACAGUGAAAGAAUGUCUCCCUGCAAAUUCUGAUGUUUUUCCAAAAGGCAGCUUGCUUUUAUAUCUAUGCAUCUUUGAGGAUUUCAAGAUAAGAAUUUAUUCUUUUGACACUGUAAAGAGGAACUGUUUAAAAAUGAACUUGGAAACUCUGCACCUGUAUACAAAUUUUUUUAGCAAUAAAGCAGCACAGGCUGAGAAUGCACUAAAA